CACAUCAUGUUGAAACGACUGUUCCUAUACGAUCACCGAAGUUAAGCAACGUUGAGUCUGAUCAGUACCUUGAUGGGUGACGGCUUGAGAAUAUCAGGUGCUGUAAG